rnacentral:rRNA from 1 species
AGCUCUGUAAGCGUAUACCAAAGUUGUUGCAGUUAAAACGCUCGUAGUCGAACCUUGGCGGUUGUUUUGCGUCAUCCUCACGGAUGGCUGUGAUUCGGCCGCCUUUGUGGAGGGGGGUGUAGUGGUUCUUUACUGAAUUACUGCAUUUCCGCCACCGUCUACUGUGAAAAAAUUAGAGUGUUCAAAGCAGGCAAUGGCCGUGAAUACAUUAGCAUGGAAUAAUAGAAUAGGACCUGUGUUCUAUUUUGUUGGUUUGUUAGAAACGGGUAAUGAUUAAGAGGGAUGGUUGGGGGCAUUUGUAUUCCAGCGCUAGAGGUGAAAUUCUUGGAUUGUUGGAAGACAAACUGCUGCGAAAGCGUCUGCCAAGGACAUUUUCAU